rnacentral:rRNA from 1 species
GACAGAGGUGCCAAGCGUUAGGCGGAAUCACUGGGCUUAAAGCGUGUGUAGGCGGAAGGGUAAGUACCUUGUGAAAUCCCACGGCUCACCCGUGGAACCGCUGGGUAUACUGCUCUUCUUGGGCCACUCAGGGGCGACUGGAACAAGCGGUGGAGCGGUGAAAUGCGUAGAUAUCGCUUGGAACGCCGAAGGUGAAAACAGGUCGCUGGGAGUGCGCCGACGCUGAGACACGAAAGCCAGGGGAGCAAACGGG